UACGUAGGCAGCGAGCGUUGUUCGGAGUUACUGGGCGUAAAGGGUGUGUAGGCGGUUCUUUAAGUUUGGUGUGAAAUCUCCCGGCUCAACCGGGAGGGUGCGCCGAAUACUGAGGGACUAGAGUAUGGGAUGGGAAAGUGGAAUUCCUGGUGUAGCGGUGAAAUGCGUAGAUAUCAGGAGGAACACCUGUGGUGUAGACGGCUUUCUGGACCAUAACUGACGCUGAGACACGAAAGAGCGUGGGUAGCAAACAGG
rnacentral:rRNA from 1 species